GCUUGCUUUCUUUGCUGGCGACCGGCGCACGGGUGAGUAACACGUAUCCAACCUACCCUUUACUCGGGGAUAGCCUUUCGAAAGAAAGAUUAAUACCCGAUAGCAUAAUGAUUCCGCAUGGUUUCAUUAUUAAAGGAUUCCGGUAAAGGAUGGGGAUGCGUUCCAUUAGGUUGUUGGUGGGGUAACGGCCCACCAAGCCUUCGAUGGAUAGGGGUUCUGAGAGGAAGGUCCCCCACAUUGGAACUGAGACACGGUCCAAACUCCUAGGGAGGCAGCAUG
rnacentral:rRNA from 1 species